rnacentral:lncRNA from 1 species
GGCCGCGGGGCUGACCUGGGCUGCACCUGCGCCCUGCUCUAACGUGCUCUAACGUGCUCUAACCUGCGCUGCGUGACCGCGGCCAGACCUAACUCCGCCACCGACCCCUUGGAAGCUCAAGGGUUGAGUUUCGGGACGGAUGGGGGCUCCCCUCCCGCCUGCAGCAUUCCCAUCCUGUCCACCCCUGCGCCCCCAGCCCUGCUGCGCUCUGCAGCCUGCCUGAACCCACCAGACCGCGGGGUCUUGCUGAGGCUGACGGCUAAGAUUUGCAGCAUCUCCAUGGCACCGUCAAUCUGGGUUCCUCUUGCCAGGAAUUGGUUCCUGCUUUCCGCUGGAGGAAAGCCCGGACCUAGGACGCCAUGUGACGUGAAUGACUCCACCCAGGACGAUGCCCUUUGGCUCCUGCUUAUAUGUCCCAAUGCUCACCGGACUCAGAUGCUUGAGUGUCUAGGAGAUACCUGUGCUUAUUCCCCUCCAAGGCUUGCGGUCCUCCCCAUCUCAGCACGACACCUCCAGAAACACAGGUGUCACCUGCAUGUUCUUUCAUGCCCUCAAACCUAAUAUAGUUGACAGUAACGGAAGUUGGAAGUUCCUCCUCCACACCAUGUGAUUCUUCACGGCCAUGUAGCCCCUAUGCCGUCUGGGUAGGGCCGCUCACUCCCAUACCUUCCCCGGUCCAAGCCAACAAGGGUAAUCUCAUCCCUCAUCCACGCCGUGUCUGGUAACGUCCAUCUAAGCUAAUGAGGCUGCAGGCAACAGAUGUAUAGUGGGGGUAUGAAGCUAGCCCUAGCCCGUUCUCCCAGCAAUGGGCAUUUGUCUAGAGAUGGCUCAAUCAAUCCGAGAUCAGGAUUUUUAUUUUACAGUUGUUGGAACGAUGCCUGCCCCUCCCCCAGGCAAAUAAGACCAUCUUGCCACCAUGUAUAGGUCUUGCUCUUGAAGCCAAGAGGUAUGGACUCACAUCCAGGUAUGGACUCAGCGUAAGGAUAAAGGGACGCACAAAGGGUGGGGGACAGACGGAGUGGGACUGAGAAGCAGAAGAAUACAUUUAGAGCCCUGAUCAAACCUUACUUGAAGCCCACAUCCAUCAUAGCUUUCACUUUAUAAGUCUGUAAAUCGUCCUUAUUUUCGGAAGAAAGUUGAUGGAGUUUUGUUUCCUGAAAUCGAAAGAUUUCAAACCAAUAAACGUAUCCACGCCACUAGCCA